rnacentral:rRNA from 1 species
UCUGGUGCUACUUGCGGCGGGGCCACACCUGAUCCCAUCCCGAACUCAGAAGUUAAGCCCGCUCGCGCCGAUGGUACUCGGACAUAAGUCCCGGGAGAGUAGGUAAGCGCCGGAA